ACUGGGGGAAAGUCUGACUCCUGAGAUCCUUGUUGCUCUUGACAAAAAUUGCAAACUCUUUCCAUUCCGGUUUUUAUUCAUAAUCCUCAUACACGGAACCAGCAUGUCAGUGCAUCCAGGGUCUUCCAGAGCCCCCUGGAAUCUGAUGUUUCUCUUCUCAGCAUUAACCAGGCAGUCAGCUGUCUGACUGCAGGCGUAUUGAACCCUGAGCUUGGCUAUGAUGCCCUUUUAGUGGGGACACAGACUAAUCUUUUGGCUUAUGAUGUCUACAAUAAUUCGGAUUUGUUCUACAGAGAGGUAGCAGAUGGGGCAAAUGCAAUUGUGCUGGGGACAUUGGGAGACAUUUCUUCCCCUCUUGCGAUUAUUGGUGGCAAUUGUGCUCUGCAAGGUUUCAAUCAUGAAGGAAGUGAUCUCUUUUGGACGGUUACUGGAGACAAUGUUAAUUCCUUGGCCUUGUGUGACUUUGAUGGUGAUGGAAAGAAAGAGCUUCUUGUUGGAUCUGAGGAUUUUGAUAUCCGAGUUUUUAAGGAAGAUGAGAUUGUGGCAGAAAUGACAGAAACAGAGAGUUUUACUCCAUCACCCAGGCUGGAGUGCGGUGGUGCGAUCUCGGCUUACUGCAAGCUCCACCUCCCAAGUUCAAGUGAUUCGCAUGCCUCAGCCUCCUGAGUAGCUGGGACUACAGGCACGCACCACCACGCCUGGAUAGUCACCUCUCUUUGUCCCAUGUAUGGCAGUCGAUUUGGUUAUGCCCUUUCCAAUGGCACAGUUGGAGUUUAUGACAAAACAUCCCGAUACUGGAGAAUUAAAUCGAAAAAUCAUGCCAUGAGCAUUCAUGCUUUUGACCUUAAUUCUGAUGGAGUGAAUGA
rnacentral:lncRNA from 1 species